AUGCCCAAUGAUUAUAACAAGACGCGUUAUUACGAGGACCAGUACUGGAACUCCCUAACUUUUUCUCCUCCCUCUUUUUCUCAGUCUUCCCCCCCCCCCCCCGCCCCCAUUUUUCUCUCCCUAUCCUUCUCUUUCACCUGCCUCUCCCCUCAGUCCUUGGAGUAUCCAGUGUCCUGUGAGCAAGAUUAUGAGAUAUGAGGGCAA